rnacentral:lncRNA from 1 species
UUUCAGCUUUUCAUUUUUAAUUAAUUUGCUAACAUUUCGAAAACACAAUUCCACUUUGACAUUAUGGGUAUUGUGUGUAGGCCAGUGACACAAAAUCUAAAUGUAAUCAAUUUUAAAUGCAGGCUGUAACACAACAAAAUGUGGAAAAAGUCAAGGGGUGUGAAUACUUUCUGAAGGCACUGUAGUUCCUUCGAGAACUAAUGUGUGUUUUUAUACUUUCUGAGCUGUUCAACCUUUAUUAGGGCAUCCUGGGAAACACUGACCAAAAUUGUGGUUCCUACUUUGUCACACUAUCGUUGUUGUCUGUAUUGACUAUCUAUGAAUGAAUGAAACCAAGGACUCAUGGUGAAACUCACCAUUUCCUGAUUCUGCUUUAAUGAGUUGUAUUUCUCACCCCAUCCAUUUUUUUAUUAUUAUAUCCAAUGAUAUGAAAAGGGAACAAAUGUUUAAGGUUACCGAACAUUUUCAUACUUCAGAAUUUUCUAAAUUCCGUCAUUGUUUUAGAAAAAAAACAUGCAAAGACAAGUAAACAAACAUCAGAACUGUAAAUUUUGACACAAAUACAUGCAUUCGUUUUUAUUCACAAAACCAGUCCAAUUUUCUAAAUGAAUACAAACAUCGCUGUUGUUUUAAAAGAUGUAGCUACCAGCAACAUAAUGAAAAAAAAAAAAAAAAACUGAAAUAAAACAUAAAGAAAUCUUGUUUCAGUGCGUUCAAAUGGGUAGACCCAGAGCUAAGCUAUUCCAAAUGGAAGUGCUGUCUCCUAGUGCUGUCGCCCUCUGUGCUAUUCCAAAUGGAAGUGCUGUCUCCCUCUGUGUUGGGAUCCUCAUGACACACACUAGUUUGGGCCACAGGAACGUAAGGCUGCCAGUUUCACAAAAUAAAAAAGCUUGGAAAUACAGGCGUGGAAAACACGGUUGGUUGGUUUGUUGGUUGGAGAGAUUCCAGUUCUCUGGAGGAUAGCAUCAUCCUGCUAAAGAGUCCCCUAGACUUCUGCCCGAUGGGAUAACAGUUGCUAUUUCAUUUCGAUAAGUAUUUUUACAUUUGGAAAUAUUUCCUUUUUCUUUUAAAAGACAACCAUUGAUCCGUUUCAAAACAAUAUUCUUAAAACAAAACAAAUCAUGAAAUAGACGGGUUUAAGUUUAAGAACAAUGGUGCUAAAUUACAAUAGUGCCUGCCAUUAGCCACUAGCUUUAAAAUAUAGCCGUAAAUGUACAUUCUCUACACAAGUACUGUAUCUUUCCACACGUGAACAACAUUAACACCAAACACACAAAUUAGUUGAUUGUCCACACUCAGUCCGUCAUUUCUGUUUGGCAAUGAACAGUUCCAUGUCUAAGCGACAGAAAAAACCUGCUGGAAAAAGGACAAAAGGUACCAAAAUGGAAACAUAGAAAAGGGAAUGAAAGUUGCCAUAGAUAUUUUUCUUUAUGUUAAAUUUUUGGUUCAAGGAAUAAGCAGGUGCAUCCAUUACUCAAUUGAUUAUUUUGUAUAAUUUCUGUUUAGUUUUUUUGUAUAUUUUUGUUGUUUGUUUGCUUGUCAGCCAGUGUCCGUGCCGAGACAAUCCAAGCGAGAGUUGGCAUUGCACUUGAUCGCAGAGCUUUGGGUUUGGGUGGGUAGGUAGGGGUAAGGGUGGAGGAGGGUCAGAGUCUUACUGGAACCAUCGGAAUGCUGCUCCUGUAGGAAGCAUCACCUUCUUAGAGAAACAAAAAAACAGAGAGAGCAGAGGGAAGGAGAGGGUUAGUAGAUACAGGCUGAAGAAGACAACACAUCCCGAGACCCAUUCUAAACUGCAACAUCUGCAGUUUGUAUUCUCUCUCU